ACCGCCUGUCUUCUCCUUGACAGCCCAAGUCACGGAAAGGAGACAAACACAGAAUAGGUCCUACCUGGAGUCUGCCCUGUGGCUGUCUGAGCUGACACAGAAUGACCAAGUUUGGGUAUACAUAUUUAAAAUAUCUCUUCCAUCUCCCCCUCCUUUUGUGAAAGAUGGCUGUUUGCAUUUGGCCCAAGGCCUGUUACAGCUUUUCUGGAGGCAGCCAGACUUGGAACAUUCAAGAACACAGACGUAGGAACUGCAUAAAAAGGAGGAGCUCUCCCACCCUCGUCGGAGUGAACCGCUUGCCGUCUGACAGCAAACCUUUUGGGAAACAGCCAGCCUUGUCACCGUGCUUGAAGGCUUUUCAGGGCAUAGAGAGGACACGGUGUGGCUUGGCAGGCGCGUUCCGACUCCGGUCUGGUGUAGGGGUUGCACUCAGUCUCUCUGGCUGUUUUGUGUGUUCCCGUCUGACAGCUCACACUUCUCCGCCGUGUGCCUUGGCCGCAGGACACAGAGCACUAAGAAGAAAGACUGUGUGUUACCCAAGGCCCCGAGGGUGGAAUCCACUCGGCCAGGUAACAACUAACCUGACGGAAAGAGUCGUCCCUCCCCGUCCCCAAGCUCCCCUCUGAAAAACCAAACCUGUGCAGACAAACACAACCAACACGCCGGUGUCAGCCACGUGGCCCAAGGUAAGGAAGCAGUCGUAGAGGAGAAGCAUUGCUCACCUGACUCCAGGCGCCAGCUUUCCAUUUGGGGCAUCUUCCUCCUCUGCACUUUCUGUGCCCACUUGGCUUAGCAAGGUGUUUACAGUAAUCACUCUCUAAAUGGUUUCCAUCUUUUGCCAUGCAGUAAACAUUUCGUUGUUUAUGCCCUCGACCACAAGAGACAGAACACUGAAAUAUAAAGCAAUGGCAAGGUUGUUGUUGUGUUUUUUUUUUUUUUUAAAUCACAUGGAGUUUGAUAAAAACCCGUGUCGUGAGAUGUUAAGAUCAUACCUGACAAGAGUCACCAUCUCCCCCCUUUUCCAACACCAUUUAAGGUAAUAUCUCAACGCUCUACACGGCAAGAAGAUAGCAUUCGGGGAAAAAAAAUGUCCGUAGUAUUUCAGCAAGCAAUCCUGCCUAGUAUUUUGGGUUCUUCAAGAGUGCGGGUAAAUCCUGACAAUUUUGGCCAAAAAAUAAAGCCAAUGAACCUGAAAUUACCAUGACAUCCUGAGUUUCUAAAAAAUCUUCCUAUGAAUUAGAAAGGAUGCCUUUCGCACAACUCACUUGAUGCAGGAUCAGGAUACUUCUUCAACCAAAUGCCUUGCGAUUCACUGAUUUGGAUAAACGUGCAUUUCCAAAAUACAACUGUGUCCAAUUUCCUAAUGAAAUGAUUUAAGGAAACUCUCCUACCAUUUUUCAGAGGAUAAACUCUCAUUUUCCCAGUCCGUUGGGAAGGAGGUGAAAAAGCCACAUUAGAAACCGAAAGGUAAGCUGGCAGGUAAGUCUGUGCCAAUUCUGGGAGGGGGGCAUUACCUUUCAACUUUGAUCUGCAAGUUCACUGAACUGUUUUAAAUGUGACCUUGUCUGACCACAUCUAAGGAACUUGACUUUGAUUUCAGAUUAGGUUUCUCAGAAAGGUCUAGGAAUCAAAGCGCCCAUGGAGUCAGGACAAAAAUUUGAUAUGACAGCUUCUUGUGGAACAGGCAAGAGGCUGGCCCCAAUGAGUGCACUGAGAUAUUCAACGUCCAUUGCCUCAUUAGCGAUUACAGAAGUCAUUACCACUUGGAUAAUAAGCUUGCUGGCUCAGAUUUUCAAGACACAUUACUUCCCAAUAUAAUGUUCUUGACUUUUAGAGGGAAAUGAGUUUAAGAAAGAAGAACAAAAUGUGAAACUGCAAUGGGAAUAGAUUUCGUGUCAUCGCCCCCUAUUCAAUAGUUCUUAUUGCCCUCACUAACUUAGUGAUUUUGUUAACUUAAAUUACCAAAGUGCCCUUUCAUGCCUAAUAGAUAAAUAGCAUCACGUAAAACAUGUAGCCUAGUAUUAAUUCAACCGGUGUUACCAAGCAUGUCCAAAGUUAUAUCAUUCAUAAAUGUGCCAGACCUCUUUCUCUAGUAAACACAAAUCAUUGUAAAGAUUUCAAUAGUAGCGAAUAGAUUAUUUUGAAAUAUGUAUAUUAAUAGGUUUGGCCCUGACUUUUUGCUUUAGGAAAGGGAAACAUUGCUGGUUUCGUUUGGGCUUCAUCUUAUGACAGUAUUAUGAUUUGGAGAGGUCAUUCUGGAAAUCUUAACAGAGCAUACAGUGAGGAAGAAAGGAGCCCAAUUUGAAUAUUCAGAUCAAAACAAAAAUACCCAUCUUUCAACCUAUGGUGCUUUGACGUAUAUAAAGACUUGGGACAUAAUUCUAGAAGGUUUUUAAAAUGAAGCUCCUAGAAAUAUUCCUACAAACCACCGGUCUAAUGACUUGCAUAUGGAAUAAUCUCUAUUGUUAGUGACUAAUUUUGGUCCUUAGAAACUUUCCUUGGACGAAUAAAUAACAAAGGGGCACAAGUGGAAUUUGGGAUGAGUUCCUCUGUGUUUAUUCAACAAACGUGUGAGCAACUACUAAGUUUCAAAAAUUAUGCGAAGAGCUGGAAAUAUAGUGAUGAACGAAGUUGACUACUCCCCGCCCGCACGGAGCUUACAGGCCAGUGUUAAUCAAAACACUGCAAUGUUGACAAAAAACAAAUGAAUGCUUAUUAACACAAAUGAGUGCUCUGAAGGACACAGGCUGCCAUGGGUGCAAGAGGGCUCCUGAGGCUUCCCCCAGGGCCAGACCGUGCAGAGCUCAUAGGUCGUCAUAAUGCAUUUGGAUUUGGAAAAAUCACAGAAGAGUUUUAAAUCAGGGCAAAACACGGUCUGAUUUUUGCUUCAGAAAUUCUACCCUGGCUACUGAGAGGACAAUGGAUGGGCAUACAGCAUGAAGGGAAAUAGUAAAACUGCUCAGGAAGAGUUAGUGCACUGGUCCAGGCAAGAGGUGAUGGUGAUACUAAAUAGGGUGCAGAGGUAUUGGGAUGGGGGAAGUUGGUGGACUUAUGACCUAUUUUUUUUAAGGUAGAAAUGACAGUUUGUGGUGGAUCAGCCAUGGGGUGCAGGGCAGAAGGCAGACUCAGGAGGGACUCCUAGGUUUGCAGUAUGGGCAACCGGACAGUGAUGACGUGUACAGGGAUGGGAAAACAGCCCCGGGCGUCAAGGAUGUAUUUAUCUGUAGGAAAAAGACUGAACUUGAAAGAUACAGAUUCCUGGGUGGGAAAAUGUGCUUAAUGAAGAAAGAGGCAUAAUGGUGAUGAACAUGGAUGAACUUAAAACAAAUCCACCUAUAGGGAUAAUCAUUUCAACAUACAAAUCAUUGAUAGCAAGCUGUCCUUUACUAUGAAGGGGCAGGGGGGAAAGAGAGUUGAUGAAAAUGCUAAUUCAGUAAUCUGCAUGGCAUCGGAGGGACAGUCUAAAAGUAGACAGCAACCUACAGAGGCAGAAUGAGAAAAGGCACAAUAUUCUAGCAUUCAGUUAUGUGCCACCCACUGCUCUAAGACCGUGCGUGCAACGUCUCAUUUAAUCAUCCUAACAACCAUUGAGAUAGGCACUGUUAUUGGAGAUAACUAGUGUUCCCAACCUGGUGUAAGUAACCACAAAGCUUUCUAGAUACCUCUCCCCACAUGAUUGCAACACAGAUGGACAGACGUUUGUUGAGGGCAAUGCCAACACAAGGGAAACAGUUGAAUUAUCACGAACAUCACUGAUACUAAUUCAUCUGAGGGGCACUACUGGUGUGACCCAUGCUUAUUGCCCUUCAAAUGAAAGGGAACAAAGGAGUUCCCAAAUACGAUGCCUUAAACAUCCUGUUAACAUCUAGAUUAGCUACAUCCCACCCAUUCCUACGUGCGUUUUUCUUAUCUGGGGAUUUGAAUGGAACCGACUUGGAAAAAAAGAAUGCAAUAGUUCAGCAUGACUCACAUAUUAUUUGCCUAAAAUGAAGAUCUAAAAGUGAUAAGGACAUUCUCGAGGUAACUGAUCAGAAAAAAAAAACAAAAAACACUUUUCAUCUCAUGCUUUCUAACUUACCAGUGAAGAAAAGAAGCUGCUUAUGGAAAUUUUCAUAUCUAACAGGUUCAUGAGUGGGUCUAUUAUGAUUUCUCUAAAGAAGCUGUCAUUUUGAUAAUCAAAUAAACAAACGUUUCAGCUCUUCUACUCUGAGGGAAAUUUCCAUCUGAUCAUUUCCAGUCCUUUUCCAGAUGCUGACUUUUGAGUCGAUGUGCAUCACUGAGAUUUAAGAGUAAAGUUCAGCGCAUCACCUACUAUGUGCUAUCUGUGGGCUACAUGUCUCAGGGUUCUUGCUCUGGGGAAUGUUUAAGUCCUUAAAUGGGCAGUGGAUAUAGCCUCCUAAAUUGCCAGUUGGAGUCCCACGUUUGCUCCUCUGGAGAAACAACCGAACAUGUUUACGAGCAUGCUUUCUCGCCAGCUUUGCACAACACUCCCAAACAAUGGUAUAGUCUCUCCUUGUGACUUAGAAAUGUCAAGGUCAGGUGUGCCUGGGUGGCUCAGUCAAUUGAGUGACUUCGGCUCAGGUCAUGAUCUCGCAUUUUGUGAGUUCGAGCCCCUUGUGGGGCUCUGUGCUGACAGCUUGGAGCCUGGAACCUACUUCAGAUUUUGUGUCUCCCUCUCUCUCUGCCCCUCCCUGCUCACAGUCUGUCUCUCUUUCUCUCAAAAAUAAAUCAGAACAUUUAAAAAAUUAAAAAAAAAAAGAAAGAAAACAUCAAGGUCAGUAUCCAAAAUGCCUGGGCUUUGAGGCUUUUGUUUCUGUGAGGCCAUUCAAAGGGGAUGUUUAACGUGAAGCUUUGUUCAGCUCUUGCCUUAACACGGUCUACUCGCCUAACGUCUUAAGAGUUUGACAUCCUUGCAUUUCAACUCAUCUGGCUGGAAACAAUGUACUCAAGGCAUGGGCAGUCUGCUCAUCAUCUCUCCUCUGGGCUUGUCCUCUCUCAGUGGUAGCCCUAGUUAUGGUGCCGGUUAGGGUCCGGCGUGCUACCGCUGGCAUUCGCGAUGCCCUGCUUCUGCCCUUUCACUUUUGUAGACGUGUGUGGUCUCUCAGACAUCAAGGAGCCAGCAAACAACCCCAGUGUGUCUGCCAGGACGAGAAGGGCUGAGGACCUAGAGAGAGGGAGAUUCCUGCGUUGCCAAGGCAGCCGUGAACCUGAACAUGUGUGCAAAGACAGAGGAGAGCGCGGAAUUGGACCCUGGGAAGAAAGACACUUAUACUGCAAAUACACAGUCACAGAAACGGAAACAUUCUGUUUAUGUGUAAUGUGUGAUGGAGGAUACUGAUCAACUAGCCCAUAUUUCCAACCACGGGACUGGCUGCCAGCAGGUAAGGAAGAGCUCGGAGGCCGAGAGGAAGGACCGAGACCGCAAGCCAUGACCAAGUGAAGUCACGAUUCUCCUGAUGGAAGGAGUUUUGCCAAUCAGGGAGCGAACCAUCCCUCUGAGACCGACGAACAGAGCUCAGUUUGGGGGCAGGACCCUGAACUAAUCAUGAUGUGCCUUUCCCUUGUGCGUCCCUAAAAUGUGAAAGUAACAUCCAAAUCCCUUCAUUUAAAAAAAUGUUCCUUUGUGUCUUUCACGGACAGCAGGCUCUUUCUGAUUCUAGUCUCCUUUGGACUUGGUUGAACAAAACACAAAGUCAAGCCUCACCUGCAGAAUGUACCAUCAGAAAGGACGUGAGGCUCACACCCGAGGUUCGCAUCUGCCUUUGCCAGUUACGGGGAGGAACGAAGGGCAUAUACAGGAGCAUGGCACCAGUGGGGAAGGCAAAACCAGACUGCGCACGCCGUUUCCGGGGAAGCCAGGACGUGAGCACAAGGAUCUGGACUUAGGGAUCAGAGUUUCAAACACAGCUCAGUGUGGGGCCUGGAACACCACGUGGGCUUGCCACCGAGGAAAAAGAAAGCAGCCAUCACUCACAUGUGCUUAUAAACUGCCUUCCACGCCGUAGGCAGCCAGCAAAUAAUUGCGGGAACGAACGGACACGUGAAAUCUGUAGGCAUCACAGAAGUGUGCUCUAAACGAAACGUCAUGUUUGCCUAAAUGUCACAAAGAAAGAACCACUCGGAAUCUGACCCACAGUGUGAGGGCUGAACCGAUUUGGCACAAGUUAUUGAGAUGCAAAAAGGCCACCCCAGGACCCCUCUUUCAGUCAGAGCAGAGCUAUUGGAAAUCACACCAGCUACCUUUUAUUGAACUCUUAACUGUGAAUGGAAAACUGGGCUGAAGGACACUGGCUUCUGUCAUUAAUCCCAACAGCGACCAUGUGACUCAGAUACUAUGAGGAUUCCUUUUUUAAUUUUUUUUUUAACAUUUAUUUAUUUUUGAGACAGAGAGAGACAGAGCAUGAACGGGGGGAGGGUCAGAGAGAGAGGGAGACACAGAAUCCGAAGCAGGCUCCAGGCCCUAAGCUGUCAGCACAGAGCCUGACGCGGGGCUCGAACUCACAGACCGCGAGAUCAUGACCUGAGCCGAAGUCGGACGCUCGACCAACUGAGCCACCCAGGCGCCCCUGAGGAUUCCUUUUUUACAGAUAAAGAGAAACAAGGAGGUGCUGUCACUUAGCCAGGGACACAAAGCCAGGAAGCAACAGAGUUGGUCUUCAAACAGGUUCUCUCCAGAAUCACCACUUUCUUCCUUAAGCUAUACUGAAGAAAGGGACCGGAGAGGAAAACAAGGUGCUCACCCCUGCUCACUCAAGUCAACAACACAGAGCAAGGACCUCAAUGGAACGUCUCUUGAGCGUAUAUUUGAAGCUUCUGGUUCCUCGAGUCUCUCAGGGAGACAGUACCUAUACAGAGUUAGUAUGUCUGACUUUAUUACUUUUUUCCUAACAUCUUUAGGACCCUGGGAAGAAAGACGCUUAGUGUGCAAAUAGACAGUCACAUACAUGAAGGGCCAGAUUUCCCUUGGGCUGGAGCCACACCCUGAUUUUCUCUUGGCCAUUUUUCAGGGUUUAUUCACUCUUUGGGGCCCGCCUGAUGUCAUGGGGCGAAUGAUUAUUUCCGUUCAUUGAUGAAUGGCUCUUUGCACGGUCAUGAAUGGAAAUGUGGGCCUGUCCAUUCACCAAGGGCUAAUCUCUCAACUGUCUGAGCUGUAAGGGCAUCUCAAAGAUUAUCCAGUCUGUCUGUUUAUCUCACAAAUGGAACACAAGAGGAAAGGAGACACGGCAUGCUGACAGUGACACAGCGAGGAAGGAGUACGUGCACGCCUAGGACUAGGAGUUCCCGUGCCCCGCACAGAACACCGUCGCCCCAGGGAUUUGUAGCCAAGUACGGGCAUUCUUCGUGUUGUUCAGCAGCCACGGCUAACCAGCCAUCCUGACUCUUUCUAUUCCAAAGGGAUAGUCCCAACAGGGACUAGCAAGGGAGGCACAGAUUCUCCCGCCUCUGGCUUUGACGGACAGCAGACACGAGUAUGAACAAGAGUGAGUAUAACAAGCUCCUGUUUGGGGACACCAGCUAAGAACAAAUUCCAACGGGUGGAGGCGCACGAGUGCCAGCACAGGAAACAAAAGCUCACCACUUGUCUUCACCUUGUUCUAAAACGCAGCAUUUCAGGGCGCAGGGCAUUUGGGCAUCAGGCAGUGCUAGGCUGGCAUGCCACCUGCCAUUUCACCUCGGGGCCAUCUGGGGCAAAUUACCGAACCUCUCUCAGCUCUGUAAAACGGGGACAACAGCACAGUCUACACUCAACAGAGUUACGUUACAAUUAAGUGGAACAACUGUAUACAUGUACGACUAUAGUGCAUAUAGACGGAUCUCCUGGGGCUUUGGUCAAGUGGUGUAGAAAUCGAUGCACGUUCACUCUCAUCACUACCACUAUUUCUACUCAGCAGAGUCUUUUAGAAUACCCCCCAGCAUGUGGUUAAAAAGUCAUUAAAAAAAAAUAUAUACGUCAACUAAUGGAGUCUCAGAUUAACAUUCUAACACAGGCACUGCUGAGUAAGGGAGGGACUUAGGCAACAUCUCACCCAAGUAAAAGGGCGAAGAUUUUUCCUUUCCAAAGGUCACAGAGCAAUCCACAGAACAGACAUAAAUGUCGAAGAUUCCUCUGCUUCUGUGGUGCCCUUUUCACUUUUAUCGACUAUUAUUAAUACGGUCUCUCUGACCAGAGAAGACAGGAAGACAAGGAAGACAAGGACCCCACAUCUGAAUGCCACAUCUUUCUCCUACUCCACCAUUUCCUGCUCAUACUUAUUAUCUGAGAGACUACUUAUGUUUCUCAUUUGUUUCUUGUUAUGUUAUUUCUUUAAUGUCUAGAGACACAGAAUCCACACCAGGGAUCGCCAUUACUGCAUGCCCAUUCACUCACUUCCUGGCUCUGUUCGGCUCUGCCGUGGCAGUGGUCACAGUUAUUUGUUAACUGGUGGGUGUGCACACAGUUAGGGCUUCUCACAACCCAUGAAUGGCUCUGGUCGGGGGGUAUCGGGGAAGCCGAGUGACUGAGGAGCGAGAGAAAGCUUUGCCAGGAAACAAGGGCUGUGACUUCAGGGCGUAAAGCCAAUGUUGACAGGCCUGCCUGAUGGCUGUUUAUGUCCAGGACCACCAUGGCACUUAUUACCAUGAAAAGGAGCCGAGAAAGCAGGAGAUUGGCAGGGAACACCAUGGAAGAAAGCAGAUGCGCGAGUCACGGUCAUCCCAGCCGGAUGGGGCACGAGGCCAUCCUUCCAUCUCCGUUGCCCCCAACACCGGCAGUCUUUGCAGUACUCCAAAGGUCUAAGACCGUGGGAGAAAAGGAACUAAGGAUCACAUGUCAACCCUUGGGGCACACUGGAAGGCUGCUCUCAAUACUACAGCCAAGUUAUAGGUGAUGAUUAUUUGUAAUCUGACAUCAGCAGAAUAAUCUUGCAGGAAAGAGGUGGAGAUGACAGAAGGACGCAUGCCCUGUGCUUACCCCGGGAUUAUUCAUGAAGGCAGUCUGGAACAUAGGGGAUAGGAGGUGAGAUAUUUGUGCCAGGUCUCAGCUGUUGCAAAGGAUCAGGAGAGGCAUCAUCUAAAAUGUUCUCUGACCCACCAUGCUCAGAGUUGAGCCUGCUCUUCGGAAGGUAUAUUCGUAUGGGUAGUGUGGAGGUUGGAGACACGGCAUUUGCUUUCUGCUAGAGCACGGAAGAUUUGCAAAGUGGCAAAGGGAAGAGGAGAGGUAGAGCUUCAGAAACUUUCUUCCUCAGAGGUUCAUGCGCUGAAAAGCCAACUUAAUGCCACACAUCUGGAAAAGCUGAUCACCUACGUAUGGCUUCCUCUUAAGGAUUUAAAAAAAACUGGUGGGAAAUAAUUGAAGGCAUUGAUGGUGAAAACCUGCUGAUCUCUACAAUGUAACAAUUUAUCUUUCCAGAAAGGAGAAAGGAAUUUUGUAACUUUUUAUUUUUAAUUUUAUAACUUUAAGGACUUCUCUGACUUAAAAAAAAAUAGGAAUUUUGUAUCAGACACAUUUGGGAAAUGCUGCAGUCUAUAUAUAGCCCACCUAAUGCCCAUGAGAAUAUGGAAAGAAAAGUUUUACUGUCAGAAAUCCAUAGAAAUGCAGGGAGGAGGCAAUAUCACCGCUCAGGGGAUGUGGCAACGUUUGAAGACAUUUUUGGCUAUUACAACCAAGAGGAUGGUUGGCAUCCAGUGGGUAGAAACAAGGAUGCUGUGUGACAUCUUACAAUGCACAGACCAGCUCCCCAACAACGAAACUACCUGGUCCCACACGUCAACAGUGCUGAGACGGGGGUAUCCUGAUUUGCUCCUAUUUACAACCCAUACAAUACUUUCUGCACCUCUGCCUUAGUCUCUAAUCAGAAAUACAAUCUGCUACUUCUCUGAUCAAAUGCAAAUGAGGAAUGAAUCCUACUUUUAAAAAGUAUCCAAAAGAAAAACCAAAAUGUUCAACUCUGACACACCAAUUCCUAGAUACAGCCGGACUAUGACAUAUGUGCAAAUUCUAUCAUGGAUGAGGGAAAUACUGAUGCCGGAAACACGAAGUUAAAAGCCACUUGUAAGUACAAACUAUCAGUGCUACCAGAACAAUCCAAAGGUGUGAACAUGGCAGAGUAGCCCUUUGUAGAAAUGCCCAUCCUCGUGUGUGCCUUUGUUUCCAAAGUUGGUCACUCCUGCCAGAAUCGCCAUGCAGAAUGUCUACGCAUUACAUUGGACACAUUUGUAGACAUUUAUAACAAUUCUCCCUCCUGACUUCAAAAAAAGAAGGAGGGACUCUACUCAUUGGUUUGCAAAUUCAGUCUGGUAAGACAACGUUGAGGCCUCAUAUUUUCAGCUCAUCCUUGAAAGUUUUUGACUGACCUUGAUGGCUUCCCGCAAUCCCACAUAAUAUAUAAUGGAAAAUUCAACUCUCUGGAGAGAACUGUUUUCUGAUAGCUAGCCAGUGACAUUCCUUGGGGCUUGCAUCUGUGACCUUGAGUUUGACUUUUGCUGAGGAGUCCUCCCUCUCCUCACCAGAUGUCUCUUUAGGGUUUCACAACCUUGGUACUAUGUCAACAUCUUGGGUGAGAUAAUUCUUUGCUGUUGGCGGCUAUGCUGUGCCUCGUAGGAUGCUUAUCAACAUCCCUGGCUUCCAUUUACUAGAUACAAGUAGCACCCUCAACCCAUUUGAGACAGUCCCCAGACAUUGCCCAAUGUUCCCAGGGGGUAAAAAUCACCCCCAGUUGAAAACCACUGACUUAUCCUAAGGUUUUCAGAAAGUCCUUCAACAAAAUCUCAAAACGGAAUUGAUUGUAACUGAUUUAAUAGCCAUGGUGGGGCACAGAGAGCUUUUUCAUGGAAGGAAGUGGUAAAGGGCCUGCUGAACAUCAAUCCAAGAUCAAGGUCUUAGGCUAAAAGAGCUGGGAAGUCCUGGUCUCCAGAGAACGUGACAUGGACAACGUGAAACCAAUUCCCACACACAGCAAUGACUACAAUGAACAAACACGCUCUUCGGGACAGCACUUCCUCCCUGACAUCAUGUCCCUGGCCUGCCACCACUAAGAGUUCCCGGAUAUUUCACAUAUGAUUAAAAAGACAACCAAUGAGAAGGAAAUAAUGAUUUCAACAAGAAAGGGCACAUUGUAAUGCAGAAAUAGGGCUCAGUGAAUAUGACAAGCUGCCUUCCGGAGACUUCCUUCAAAGAGGGAAUGAUCUCUUGGAAUUCAAGCUUCUACAAGGUGACUACCUGGUGUUUUCCAUUUUUGUCUUCUCCUAAAAAGCAUCAAUCAAGCCUUGCCCUUUCGGCCCACUGAACACAUAAACACUCUUUUUCCCUAACUGAACUUACUGCCACGAUGAACUUGAACUCUAAGACGCACAAGAGGAGAGUUGUUUUAACAGCUGCUUUUACACUGAGGCUCUGGAGUUACUACCCUCAAGACAGCUGGUUCUGAUAAGCCUCUCUUCCCACUGUCCUGUUUUUUCUAAUGCCCAGCUGUCAGGGAACACCCACUGAAGUGUUCUAAAACAAAGGCACAAAACGGAAGAAAGGCAAGAGAAUGGUACUCAUUUGGAUGCAAGGGCAUCCUACAUAGGGACCCUUUACGAGCCGACACAGGGUUUUUCUCUCCAAAUUGCUUUUGUAAGUUUACGGAUUUCUCGGCUAGUUGCGGAUUAAUUGCUAAAGACGUUGCCUGAGGUUGCCCUGUCCAAUAUGGUAGCCACCAGCAACAGGUGGCUGUUUAGAUUUAGAGUAAUUAAAACGAAACACAAUUUAAAGUGCAGUAUCCCUGUCGCACAUUUCAAGUGCUCCAUAUAAGCCACAUGCAGCUAGCAGAUUCCAUGCUGGAAAGCAAAAAGAGAGAACAUUUCCCUCACUGUAGAGAGUUAUUGGACCGCACUGGCCAAGACAUACGCUCUUUCUAAGAGGGGAAAGGGGAUGCAGAUCUGGUAAGAAUGAUGGUUUUGUCUGUUGGGCCUGUAUCAAUUAUCUCCCAUACUACUUCCUGUACACUCUUUUCUUGGCUGCCAAUGUUCCAUUUUCUACAUUUUUGGAAGGGGAGGUUGUGGUCUUUAAAACAAUCCAUGAAAAGGAUCCCACUUCAGAGGAAACAAAACAACAGGAAGCAAAGGUGGUGGUGUGGCAAUCCCCACAUUCUAGAUGUUUUUAUUGGUGAUCAUCAAAUAACAAAGGGUAAAAUGUACCUCGGCCAGGGCUUCCCACGUUUGGGUGGAGGCUGAGGACCCUGACAGAG